AUGGCGUCGGGUGGCUCUGGCCGCACCGCCACGGCCGGAACCGCGGCGCUGCUGUCGCUGGUGUUCUUGCUGCUGCAGGUCUCCGCGGGUGCGGGCGCGGGCGCCGACUGCCACUUCCCGGCCGUGUUCAACUUCGGGGACUCCAACUCGGACACUGGCGGGCUCUCGGCCGCCUUCGGCGCCGCGCCGCCGCCCAACGGCAGGACCUUCUUCGGCAUGCCCGCCGGCCGCUACUGCGACGGCCGCCUCGUCAUCGACUUCAUCGCCGAAAACCUGGGAAUACCUUACCUAAGUGCGUACCUCAACUCAGUAGGGAGCAACUUCUCGCAGGGGGCCAAUUUCGCAACAGCCGGCUCGACAAUCAGCCGACAGAACACAUCCCUGUUCCUCUCGGGGUUCAGCCCCAUCUCCUUGGACGUGCAGUCCUGGGAAUUCGAACAGUUCAUCAACAGAAGCCAGUUCGUUUACAACAACAAAGGUGGUGGCAUCUACAGGGAGCUCCUGCCAAAGGCCGAGUACUUCUCCCAGGCGCUGUACACCUUCGACAUCGGCCAAAACGACAUCACGGCGGGCUACUUCGCGAACAUGACGACUGAACAAGUCGUAGCGUUCAUUCCUGAGCUCAUGGAGAGGCUCACCUCAAUAAUCCAGAAUGUGCACGGGUUCGGAGGAAGGAACUUCUGGAUCCACAGCACGGGGCCUAUCGGCUGCCUGCCUUACGCCCUCAUUCGCCGGCCCGACAUCGCCGCGGUCAAGGACAAGGUUGGCUGCUCUGUCACCUACAACAAGGUCGCGCAGCUCUUCAACCAGAGGCUCAAGGAAACGGUGGCUCGUCUCCGGAAAACCUACCCCGACGCUGCGUUCACCUACGUCGAUGUCUACGCCGCCAAGUACAAGCUGAUCAGCCAAGCCAGCAAGCUAGGCUUCGACGACCCUCUGCUCACCUGCUGCGGGCACGACGCUGGCCCGUACAACUUCGACCCGAAGGUUGGUUGUGGCGGGAAGGUGCUGGUGAAGGGGAAGUGGGUGGUGCUGGGAAAGUCCUGCGACGACCCGGCCAGGAGAGUGAGCUGGGACGGCGUCCACUUCACCGAGGCAGCGAACAAGUUCGUCUUUAAUCAGAUCGUCGGCGGCGGGCUCUCGGACCCGCCCAUGCCCCUGAGGCAGGCUUGCCGGAGCAAAGGGCAGUGA
rnacentral:rRNA from 1 species